UUGGGAUUUGAGAAUGGGUUCGGGCUUAGGUUAUAGGUUUUGGUUUUGGUUUAGGUUAUAGGUUUUGAUUUAGGUUAUAGCUUAUAGGUUUAGGUUAAGGUUUAGGUUUAGGUUAUAGGUUUUGGGAUUUGAGAAUGGGUUUGGGUUUAGGUUAUAGGUUUUGGUUUUGGUUUUGGUUUUGGUUUUGGUUAUAGGUUUUGAUUUAGGUUAUAGGUUAUAGGUUUAAGUUAAGGUUUAGGUUUAGGUUAAAGGUUCGGGUUUAGGUUAUAGGUUUUGGUUUUGGUUUU